rnacentral:rRNA from 1 species
AUUGAACGCUGGCGGCAUGCCUUACACAUGCAAGUCGAACGGCAGCGGGGGAGAAGCUUGCUUUUCCUGCCGGCGAGUGGCGAACGGGUGAGUAAUACAUCGGAACGUGCCCUGUAGUGGGGGAUAACUAGUCGAAAGAUUAGCUAAUACCGCAUACGACCUGAGGGUGAAAGUGGGGGACCGCAAGACCUCAUGCUAUAGGAGCGGCCGAUGUCUGAUUAGCUAGGUGGUGGGGUAAAGGCCUACCAAGGCGACGAUCAGUAGCUGGUCUGAGAGGACGAUCAGCCACACUGGGACUGAGACACGGCCCAGACUCCUACGGGAGGCAGCAGUGGGGAAUUUUGGACAAUGGGCGAAAGCCUGAUCCAGAAAUGCCGCGUGUGUGAAGAAGGCCUUCGGGUUGUAAAGCACUUUUGUCCGGAAAGAAAUGGCUCUGGUUAAUACCUGGGGUCGAUGACGGUACCGGAAGAAUAAGGACCGGCUAACUACGUGCCAGCAGCCGCCGUAACAC